CACCUGCUCUCAUCACCACACCGGUCGCCGAUCCCAGCUGAUUGCAGCACUAUUUAAGAUGGCGGAUCUGCACUAGUCUUCGCUGGAUCGUUGAGCUAUCAGCAUUUUCCCUGAACCUGUUUAAUGGACAACAAGAGGAGCGGCAGUGGAGAGGAGUCGGAUUCUGUACAGAAAGUUGUGGAGCACUUUUCCCCGACCCCUGUUUCCCCCACGGACCCGGGAGACCCGGACCCCUCUUCCCCUGCACGUUGUAUAUGUCCACUUGGUGUUUUGUUCACUGUAAAUAAACGCACUGUCUUUUGCCUGAGGAAAACCUGGACUGCGCCUGGGCCCCUUUAAGAAACCUUAUCAAUGGUGCUGUCUGUUGGAGCAGCAGCUUAUCUACAGCUGAGAGGAUCAGCUCAUCAGGAAGGCCAGGUCUGUGCUAGGAUAGGAAAUGGGCAGUAAUGCGUAAUCUGAUUACUUUUUUCAAGUCACGAGUACUGUAAGGGAUUACUAUUGCAAAAUGUAAUUAGAUUACCUAUGCUUUCCCGUAAGCAUGCUGCGUUACUGUGUUACUAAAGCGUUGUGCUUUUGUUUGUGAGAGUGUCUCAUGGCAAUGACGUAUAAGCGUGCGACGUCCGUGGUAACAGAGGUGUGAAGAUCAACGAUGGAUAAUAUGGAGAGAGUACGACCAUGCAGCAUUUAAAGUGUGGAAGUAAUCACGUUACUUUGAGUUUGAUUCUGUAAAAAGUGACAAAAACAUCAGUGUCUGCUGUUCACUCUGCGUGGGAAGAAAACUUCUUUCUACAGUGAAAAAUUAAACUUCAAAUCUGAGCGAGCAGCGAGCACGCUGCCACAGGAAUGUGACAUUCACAGAGAAACCCCGGGAUCCCCCCACUGACAUGACCACUGUGGGCAAACCUCCACCCGCCCCACUCCUGCUAAACAGGUGACAACAGAUUUAAGAGCGACAGGACUCAGAGCUGCUGAAUCUUUGAUUUUAUUUAUUUUUGCUGUGUUUUACUUGCAUCUA
ensembl:lncRNA